rnacentral:rRNA from 1 species
GUAGGUGGGCAAGCGUUGUCCGGAAUUAUUGGGCGUAAAGCGCGCGCAGGCGGUCCUUUAAGUCUGAUGUGAAAGCCCACGGCUCAACCGUGGAGGGUCAUUGGAAACUGGGGGACUUGAGUACAGAAGAGGAAAGCGGAAUUCCAAGUGUAGCGGUGAAAUGCGUAGAGAUUUGGAGGAACACCAGUGGCGAAGGCGGCUUUCUGGUCUGUAACUGACGCUGAGGCGCGAAAGCGUGGGGAGCAAACAGGAUUAGAUACCCUGGUAGUCCACGCCGUAAACGAUAAGUGCUAAGUGUUAGGGGGUUUCCGCCCCUUAGUGCUGCAGCUAACGCAUUAAGCACUCCGCCUGGGGAGUACGGCCGCAAAGGCUG